UACGGAGGGUGCGAGCGUUGUCCGGAAUCAUUGGGCGUAAAGGGCGCGUAGGCGGCCGGAGAAGUCGGUGGUGAAAGCUCGGGGCUCAACUCCGAGUCGGCCACCGAUACUGUUCGGCUCGAGUUUGGUAGAGGCAGAUGGAAUUCCGGGUGUAGCGGUGGAAUGCGUAGAGAUCCGGAAGAACACCGGUGGCGAAGGCGGUCUGCUGGGCCAAGACUGACGCUGAGGCGCGACAGCGUGGGGAGCAAACAGG
rnacentral:rRNA from 1 species